AAGCACUCCGCCUGGGGAGUACGACCGCAAGGUUGAAACUCAAAGGAAUUGACGGGGGCCCGCACAAGCGGUGGAGCAUGUGGUUUAAUUCGAAGCAACGCGAAGAACCUUACCAGGUCUUGACAUCCUUUGACCACUCUGGAGACAGAGCUUUCCCUUCGGGGACAAAGUGACAGGUGGUGCAUGGUUGUCGUCAGCUCGUGUCGUGAGAUGUUGGGUUAAGUCCCGCAACGAGCGCAACCCUUGAUUUUAGUUGCCAGCAUUUAGUUGGGCACUCUAAAGUGACUGCCGGUGCAAGCCGGAGGAAGGUGGGGAUGACGUCAAAUCAUCAUGCCCCUUAUGACCUGGGCUACACACGUGCUACAAUGGAUAGUACAAAGGGUCGCGAAGCCGCGAGGUGGAGCUAAUCCCAUAAAACUAUUCUCAGUUCGGAUUGUAGGCUGCAACUCGCCUACAUGAAGCCGGAAUCGCUAGUAAUCGUGGAUCAGCAUGCCACGGUGAAUACGUUCCCGGGCCUUGUACACACCGCCCGUCACACCACGAGAGUUUGUAACACCCGAAGUCGGUAGGGUAACCUUUAUGGAGCCAGCCGCCGAAGGUGGGACAGAUAAUUGGGGUGAAGUCGUAACAAGGUAGCCGUAUCGGAAGGUGCGGCUGGAUCACCUCCUUUCUAAGGAA
rnacentral:rRNA from 1 species